UACGAAGGGGGCUAGCGUUGUUCGGAAUCACUGGGCGUAAAGGGCGCGUAGGCGGCCGAUCAAGUCGGGGGUGAAAGCCUGUGGCUCAACCACAGAAUUGCCUUCGAUACUGUUUGGCUUGAGACCGGAAGAGGUAAGUGGAACUGCGAGUGUAGAGGUGAAAUUCGUAGAUAUUCGCAAGAACACCAGUGGCGAAGGCGGCUUACUGGUCGGUUCUGACGCUGAGGCGCG
rnacentral:rRNA from 1 species